rnacentral:rRNA from 1 species
UACGAAGGGGGCUAGCGUUGUUCGGAAUUACUGGGCGUAAAGCGCGCGCAGGCGGUCUUCCAAGUCAGUGGUGAAAGCCCGGAGCUCAACUCCGGAACUGCCAUUGAAACUGUGAGACUUGAGUACGAGGGAGGUGAGUGGAAUUCCCAGUGUAGAGGUGAAAUUCGUAGAUAUUGGGAAGAACACCGGUGGCGAAGGUGGCUCACUGGCUCGUAACUGACGCUCAGGCGCGACAGCGUGGGGAUCGAAACAGG